CGACGAAUCUUCCGCAAUGGACGCAAGUCUGACGGAGCAAUGCCGCGUGUGGGAUGAAGCAUCUUCGAUGUGUAAACCACUGUCAGGUCCUAGGACCAACGACCAGGACCAGAGGAAGGGCCGGCUAACCUCGUGCCAGCAGCCGCGGUAAUACGAGGGGCCCAAGCGUUAAUCGGAAUCACUGGGCUUAAAGCGUGCGCAGGCGGCCUUGCAAGCAUCUCGUGAAAUCCCACGGCUCAACCGUGGAACUGCGGGGUGAACUGCAAGGCUUGAGGCAGGUAGGGGCUGAUGGAACCAUGAGUGGAGCGGUGAAAUGCGUAGAUAUUCAUGGGAACGCCGAUGGGGAAGCCGAUCAGCUGGGCCUGUCCUGACGCUCAGGCACGAAAGCGUGGGGAGCAAACAGGAUUAGAUACCCCCGUAGUCC
rnacentral:rRNA from 1 species